rnacentral:rRNA from 1 species
UACGUAGGUGGCAAGCGUUGUCCGGAUUUAUUGGGUUUAAAGGGUGCGUAGGCGGUCUUUUAAGUCAGUGCUGAAAUACUCCAGCUUAACUGGAGGGGUGGCAUUGAUACUGGAAGACUUGAGUGUAGUUGAAGUAGGCGGAAUUGACGGUGUAGCGGUGAAAUGCUUAGAUAUCGUCAAGAACACCGAUAGUGAAGACAGCUUACUAAGCUACAACUGACGCUGAGGCACGAAAAGUGUGGGGGAUCAAACAGG